rnacentral:misc_RNA from 1 species
UCUAAAUCAAUGGCUCUGAUACUUCAGAAUGGCUCUACCAAUCCUUGAGCAAGACUGCCAGGAAGGGGGUAUUUAUCUUCCAGCAGGUAUACAUCACUAAAGCUUCUCCAGUGCACUAUCUACAAUUAUGCAUGCAAUCUUUACAUCCUAACACGUGGUUGCAGGCUAUCAGUAUACUGUUAUUUGUGAGGCAAAUGGAACAGAACCAUUGAUAACAAGCAGCAAACAUGACCUAUGAGAUUAUGUAUGCACCCAUCCCCAAG